GUCAUCAGUAAGCGACAAAGGACAGGUGUCCGAGGAAUAUUCCUGAACUCGAAAAGUGCAACUUUCUCUUUGAUUGCAUUUUAUAGAGUCUUAUUUCUUGUACUGUCAAGAACAGAAUGUGGAAUAUGCUUUCUUGUUUGAAAUAAGUAGUUCUGUUGUAUUCUACGUGUAUUUAUUUUAGAAAAGCCCCUCCGACGUGAAGAAACCGAAUCUCUUGAGUUUCCUUAGUCCCUACGAAAGAUCUACGUUAAGCCCAAUGUGGGUUGAUACACAGUUCUGGCUUUCAAUGAAUCUAGCCAACUAGCUGCCAGGGCCAUCAGUCUGUCCGUUUGCUUCAAAUAACAAGGUGUGAACAUGAUUAACACCGAGAAGAAACCUACGGGAGGUGAUGCUUCUGCGAAGGAGGCCAGCGAAAAGAAGAAGGAGAGUGAGAAGAAGAAGAGGUCACGGGUGAAACAGCUGCUGGCAGAUGUGAAGAAGCAGGUGGAAUUCUGGUUUGGGGAUGUCAACCUCCACAAGGACAGGUUCCUGAGACAGCUUGUUGAGCAAUCAAGAGAUGGUUAUGUAGAUAUUUCUGUGUUAGCCACCUUCAAUCGAAUGAAAAAGAUGACGACUGAUGUCAAGUUGAUUGCAAGGGCCCUUAAAAACUCAAGUGUAGUCGAGGUGAACCUUGAGGGAACAAAAAUAAGACGACAGCAUCCACUAGGAGAGGAGCCAAAAAAUGUGGACGAGCGCACCGUCUACGUGGAACUGCUGCCCAAGAAUGUGACACACAGCUGGAUAGAGCGGGUGUUCGGCAAGUGGGGGACCGUAGUUUACAUCAGCGUCCCGAGAUACAAGUCCACUGGACAGCCAAAGGGAUUCGCGUUCAUCGAGUUUGAGACGGAGGAACAGGCGCAGAAAGCCACUGAGAUGCUGAAUAACCCUCCCGAAGAUGCUCCCCGGAAGCCGGGCAUCUUCCCCAAGACCAAGAAGAACAAGCCCGUUGCCCUCCCAGGCCCGGAGGACACCCCACUCGAAGAGAAGAAGAAGAAGAAGAGGAAGAAGUCUCGUGCUGGUCGGAAGGAGAGCACCACUCAGCCAGUGCCCGAGACCAAAGAGCAGGAAGCCGUGGCGGAGACAGAGCCCUCCGACAGGAAGAGGAAACGUGCAGCGGAGGGCCCGGAGUCUGAGGGCCAGGAUGCACCGAAGGACCCAGCCAAGCGGGAGAAGAAGAGGAGGCGGUCUCAGAGCGUAGAGGGGUCCAGGGCCGACACGCAGGGCGAGACGCCCGCCAAGAUGAAGAAGAUGGCCGAGGUAGAGGAGGACCCCAAGGAAAGCGAGGAGGCCGAAAAUGAGGUCAAAGUAGAUUCUGCUGAAGGUGAGAAGGAGAAAGAGGAAGAUGAAGAGGACGGGAAGAAGGAGGACUCUCUGUUGAAGGCCAAGAGGAAGAGGAAGAAGAAGCACAAGGAGCGACCCAAGAUUGGCGAAGAGGUCAUUCCCCUCCGCGUUCUUUCCAAGAAAGACUGGCUGGACUUGAAGCGGGAGUACGUAACGCUGCAGAAACGUAGCAUGGCCACUCUCAAGAAGUCCAUGGUCAGCCAGAAGGGUAAUGGAGAAAUGGAGCUUGGCUCCACCGUGGAGAGCAAACAGACUGCCGACAUGAACAAUAAGCAGGAGCGUGUGUGCGACAAAGAGGCGUCCCUCGGCCCCCAGUUUGAGAGCGGCGUCAUCGUGAAGAUCACGCACAGCCAGCCACUACCAGGAAGGAAGUGUAUCAAGGAUGCCCUGUCGGAGGUGUCUGCUGUCGUGUACGUAGACAUUCUGGAGGGGGAUGCGGAGGGGCACGUCCGUUUCAAAACCCCCGAAGAUGCCAAGGCAGUGAUCACGGCUCGCUCCGAGAUCCAGAGGAGGCACAGCUGGAGACUGGAGAUCCUCUCUGGUGAGAUGCAUGCUGGGAAUAGAACGUGGUGACAAUGAACAAAGAUACUGGCAGAAGAUUUUGGUGGACCGGCAAGCUAAACUUAAUCGUCCGAGGGACAAAAAAAGAGGCACAGAAAAGUUGAUUGCGAAGGCAGAGAAAAUAAUCACAGCCCAAGCAAAGGAGGCCAGUAAGCACAUCCGCUUCCUGGAAGACUGAACUUCCUGAACAUCGUCUCCAGCUGAUGACUCCCACACCGGUGUGCAGGACAGUUUGAGUCAGCGUCAUUUUUCUUCUUUUUUUUUUUUACUAUUUUCAGACAAUCUUGAAUAAUGUGACUGGGGCCUAACGUGGCAAGGUUUCUUGAAUAUGUUGCUUUUACAUUGACAUGACUCGUCUUGAGUUUGAUGCAUUUUUAUUUUGACCUUUGUGAUGAGAGUGGCGCAGACUUGUUACAUGCCAUUUGCUUUGUUUCCAGGUUUACAAGUGCGAUUUGCAGGAUGAUAUUAUAUAUUGAAUAGAAGGGAAUUCUGUAUAUUAAUACAGCAAGUACACCAUGGUUGAAAAAUUAUAACCAGAAUAUUACGGUAAAUUUGUACCUUAGAGUGUUUUGUAAAAGAGCACACAAAUUCACAUUGAACUGGUUUCAGCAAGGUUUUUAUGAGUUGAGUUUUAUUAAAAGCUUGUGUUUUAGUUUAAAUUUGUUUUCUAUGUUUGUGGAAACUAGAACAAGAUCAACAAAAUUUUGCCAUGUAUGAAGAUGUGUAUAUAAUGUAAAUAUGGCAGAAUGUGCCAUUCUUUUGUUUUUCUGGCCCCGGUUACCUCAUUUACAGAGUUCAUGAAUUUCAGUAUUUUUUGGUAAAUAAAACGCCGUGUUGAGUGAA